UGUACACUCGCGGUAACAGCAACUGGUGGAACCCUUGUCACGUAGACUGGAGACAAAUUCCGCAUGGUGCCUGGUCAACGGCAAACCGCCUUACUCACGAGUAGCCCCCAGCACUAGAAUGGGAAUGAGUGAGUGCGCAUGGUUGUCAAGCGCAUUGUUUCAACACGUUUGUGUUCGUGUAUACGUCGGUGUACUUGCACUUUUUUUCGUGGUAGGAGCUACCUGUGCAGCGCUCGUCCAUCCUGCUUGGGUCAUGUGUUUCCCGCUGGGCGAGAUGGCAGCGCGAGUCACCAGGGCACUCUGGCUCAAACUUGGAGGCCUGAACGAGUGCCAUUCUGAGCCGAUUGCAACGCUCACUGCAAGCCACUGGAAAUAUGUGAAGGCCGCGAAAUUUUCCUCUCAAACCGGUGUCAUCACAAGGCCCGUGCAGAACUUCGCCACGCACGUGGACAACGCGUGCCCUGAAGCGACUUCAGGAACAGCCGCUAAUUCUUCAGACAUGAACGCCUCGAUGCUCUCGCAACCUUAUCUCUUGUGGAUCGCCAGAGUGCCACACCCCAUGGACGACAAGGAUACGCCCAGAACUGAACUUUGAAAUGAGCUCAUUCAAAACAUUCCCCAACAUUGUUCCCAGUGAUUUGUAAAUAUACAUGAUUGCCAUAAGA